AAUACAGUGCAGCAACAUCAUCUUGCUUUUCAUAAAAUUAUAUCUGUCUGACAAGAUUCUUGACGUAUGAUUUUCAACUAUGUAUUAAUUUCAGGUUGAGAGUGCUUUGGGGCAGUUUGUCUUUCGUGAACUUAGUGCUGUUGCUGGUGCUGUCACAAUCACUUGUCUCAUGGUUGCAAACCUUGUUGGUUAUGUUAUUGGACCAUCAGGCAUUAAUUGGUUGGUAUCUCAAUUCCUUCAAAAAGAAGGACUGCCUGUUCUAGGUGGUAUGUUUGUGACAUUUUAUGUAGGGACUAAGCUUAUGUUCCACAUUGAUGAUGCCAAGCAAAGAAAGUACAGAAAUGGCCUGUGAAGGAAUCAUUGUGUAGCCACGUUGCUGAUUGCCAAUAUGUAGAUUUUAUGGGGGGUCAAAAUCCAGUAUUAGAAAUUCUGAAUGAUGUUGACAUCGCCAAUGUUAUUGGUUUGGGAGAGUAUUUUGCGUUCACUUUGAGGACCUCGGUUCAUUAUUUUGUUAUGCGUUUAGGCAUUUUAGUUGACAGCAGCAGCCAUUCAUUGUUGUACAGGAAGAAAAUUGGCGAUCCCCUCCCCCUUAAAAAGUAGCAAGGAUAACAAUGCAAUUUUGAUUGUUAUCAUGUGGCAUAUCAUGCCUCUCUAUUUGUCUUCGAGGGCACAUUUGUGUACCAUAGGAUCAAUUAAGAAGCUCAUCACAAGGUUAUUAUAUAUACUUUUUCUUAUUUUUGGUGGAACCGUGUAUGAUAUCAUCUUAUUUUGUUUU